UUUAGUAAGGUGUUAAGGCAUUUUAUAUUUUGGAUGUAAAGGUGAAUAGUGUUCUGCUUUUU
rnacentral:tRNA from 1 species